AGUGGACGCUGGCGGUAGGCCUAACACAUGCAAGUCGAACGGCAGCACAGUAAGAGCUUGCUCUUACGGGUGGCGAGUGGCGGACGGGUGAGGAAUACAUCGGAAUCUACUUUUUCGUGGGGGAUAACGUAGGGAAACUUACGCUAAUACCGCAUACGACCUACGGGUGAAAGCAGGGGAUCUUCGGACCUUGCGCGAUUGAAUGAGCCGAUGUCGGAUUAGCUAGUUGGCGGGGUAAAGGCCCACCAAGGCGACGAUCCGUAGCUGGUCUGAGAGGAUGAUCAGCCACACUGGAACUGAGACACGGUCCAGACUCCUACGGGAGGCAGCAGUGGGGAAUAUUGGACAAUGGGCGCAAGCCUGAUCCAGCCAUACCGCGUGGGUGAAGAAGGCCUUCGGGUUGUAAAGCCCUUUUGUUGGGAAAGAAAAGCAGCAGGUUAAGACCCCGCUGUUCUGACGGUACCCAAAGAAUAAGCACCGGCUAACUUCGUG
rnacentral:rRNA from 1 species